rnacentral:rRNA from 1 species
GCGCGAAAACUUUACAAUGCUGGCAACAGCGAUAAGGGAACCUCGAGUGCCAGGUUACAAAUCUGGCUGUCGAGAUGCCUAAAAAGCAUUUCAUAGCAAGGGCCGGGCAAGACCGGUGCCAGCCGCCGCGGUAACACCGGCGGCUCGAGUGGUAACCGUUAUUAUUGGGUCUAAAGGGUCUGUAGCCGGCCGGAUAAGUCUCUUGAGAAAUCUGGCAGCUUAACUGUCAGGCUUUCAGGAGAUACUGUCUGGCUCGAGGCCGGGAGAGGUGAGAGGUACUUCAGGGGUAGGGGUGAAAUCUUGUAAUCCUUGAAGGACCACCAGUGGCGAAGGCGUCUCACCAGAACGGAUCUGACGGCAAGGGACGAAAGCUAGGGGCACGAACA